AGUGAACGCUGGCGGUAGGCCUAACACAUGCAAGUCGAACGGCAGCACAGAGGAGCUUGCUCCUUGGGUGGCGAGUGGCGGACGGGUGAGGAAUACAUCGGAAUCUACUCUGUCGUGGGGAUAACGUAGGGAAACUUACGCUAAUACCGCAUACGACCUACGGGUGAAAGCAGGGGAGCUUCGGACCUUGCGCGAUUGAAUGAGCCGAGGUCGGAUUAGCUAGUUGGCGGGGUAAAGGCCCACCAAGGCGACGAUCCGUAGCUGGUCUGAGAGGAUGAUCAGCCACACUGGAACUGAGACACGGUCCAGACUCCUACGGGAGGCAGCAGUGGGGAAUAUUGGACAAUGGGCGCAAGCCUGAUCCAGCCAUACCGCGUGGGUGAAGAAGGCCUUCGGGUUGUAAAGCCCUUUUGUUGGGAAAGAAAUCCAUCUGGUUAAUACCCGGGUGGGAUGACGGUACCCAAAGAAUAAGCACCGGCUAACUUCGUGCCAGCCGCCGCGGUAA
rnacentral:rRNA from 1 species